rnacentral:rRNA from 1 species
GUGGGGAAUUUUGGACAAUGGGGGCAACCCUGAUCCAGCCAUGCCGCGUGAGUGAAGAAGGCCUUCGGGUUGUAAAGCUCUUUCGGCCGGGAAGAAAUUGCAUUGGUUAAUACCCAGUGUGGAUGACGGUACCGGAAUAAGAAGCACCGGCUAACUACGUGCCAGCAGCCGCGGUAAUACGUAGGGUGCGAGCGUUAAUCGGAAUUACUGGGCGUAAAGCGUGCGCAGGCGGUUUUGUAAGACAGGCGUGAAAUCCCCGGGCUCAACCUGGGAACUGCGUUUGUGACUGCAAGGCUAGAGUAUGGCAGAGGGGGGUGGAAUUCCACGUGUAGCAGUGAAAUGCGUAGAGAUGUGGAGGAACACCGAUGGCGAAGGCAGCCCCCUGGGCCAAUACUGACGCUCAUGCACGAAAGCGUGGGUAGCAAA